rnacentral:ncRNA from 1 species
UAAAAAUAUUGAUGAGGAACUGGUUAAGAAAAAACAGAGAAUGAUAUAGUCCAAUUUGGCAUUAGCCAAUUUGACCCUAGUAGUCCACGCCCUAAACGAUGAGUGCUAGAUAUUGGGAACUUGAUUCUCGGUGUCGCUAGGUAACCCGGUAAGCACUCCGCCUGGGUAGUACGCUCGCAAGAGUGAAACUCAAAGGAAUUGACGGGGACUCGCACAAGCACUGGAGCAUGUGGUUUAAUCCGAUGCAACGCGUAGAACCUUACCAAGGCUUGACAUGUUUGGCAAAACUGUGGAAACACAGCGGAGGUUAUCCAAACACAGGUGCUGCAUGGCCGUCGUCAGUUCGUGCCGUGAGGUGUAUGGUUAAGUCCUAUAACGAACGCAACCCUUGGGCUUAGUUGCCAGCAUUCAGUUGGGGACUCUAGGCCGACUGCCUGAGUAAUCAGGAGGAAGGAAAGGAUGACGUCUGGUCGUCAUGGCCCUUAUGUCUUGGGCGACACACGUGCUACAAUGGUUAAUACAAAGGGACGCCAACCCGCGAGGGGGAGCAAAUCUCAAAAAAUUAGCCUCAGUUCGGAUUGGAGGCUGCAACUCGCCUCCAUGAAGCCGGAAUUGCUAGUAAUCGCCAAUCAGCCAUGUGGCGGUGAAUACGUUCUCGAGUCUUGUACACACCGCCCGUCAAAUCACGAAAGUCGGUAAUGCCUGAAACCAGUCUGUUAACCGCAAGGAUACGGCUGACAAGGGUAGGAUUGGCAAUUGGGGUUAAGUCGUAACAAGGUAUCCGUAGGGGAAUCUGCGGAUGGAAAUAAAUUUAU